UUAGUUAACUGGACAGGGUCUAUGGAUGAUCAAUAAGACUCAUGGCCUAGACCGAUGGCUCACAUUGCAUGUAGUGAGCAUGUCGGUCUAUCGUCUCUUUUUUGUUGAAAAAUGAAUGUCAUAAUUAGUGUUAGAGCCUUAGAGGGGUACACGCUCGCGCGACCACUAU